AUGAAGCCCAAAGCAGCUGCUGGCCACUGCACAAGAUUAGUAAUACAUAUACUCUUGUGCGUGUGACAGCGGCUAUUGCGGGAUUUUCAUUAUCUACA
rfam:Papilio machaon contig33297, whole genome shotgun sequence.